rnacentral:pre_miRNA from 1 species
CUGACUCGCAGGCUGCCGGCCCCCUGGCUGGGCUGGGCGAGGAUCUCUUUGAAAGGCUCACUCUCAAGCACAGCCAGGAGC